AGAGUUUGAUCCUGGCUCAGAGUUAACGUUGGCGGCGUGCCUAACACAUGCAAGUCGAACGCGUCCUAAGGGCAACUUUAGGAUGAGUGGCGAACGGGUGAGUAUCACGUGGGUAAUCUUCCUUCAAGUGGGGAAUAAGCUCUCGAAAGGGAGUCUAAUACCGCAUGACAUUCCGGGACACAAGUCCCGUAAUCAAAGCCGCAAGGCGCUUGAAGAUGAGCCUGCGUCCUAUUAGCUAGUUGGUGGGGUAACGGCCUACCAAGGCUCAGAUGGGUAGCCGGCCUGAGAGGGUGAACGGCCACACUGGGACUGAGACACGGCCCAGACUCCUACGGGAGGCAGCAGUGAGGAAUUUUGCGCAAUGGGGGAAACCCUGACGCAGCGACGCCGCGUGGAGGAUGAAGGCCUUCGGGUCGUAAACUCCUGUCAGAGGUGAAGAAUGCCCGCAAGGGUUUGACGGUAACCUCAGAGGAAGCCCCGGCUAACUACGUGCCAGCAGCCGCGGUAAUACGUAGGGGGCAAACGUUACUCGGAAUUACUGGGCGUAAAGGGUGCGUAGGCGGCUGGGAAAGUCAAGGAUGAAAUCCCGUGGCUCAACUGCGGAACGGUCCUUGAAACUACUCGGCUUGAGGAUAACCGAAGAGAACGGAAUUCCCGGUGGAGCGGUGAAAUGCGUAGAUAUCGGGAGGAACACCUGAGGCGAAAGCGGUUCUCUAGACUACUCCUGACGCUGAGGCACGAAAGCUAGGGGAGCAAACGGGAUUAGAUACCCCGGUAGUCCUAGCCAUCAACUAUGGAUACUGGAUAUUCCUGCACUCAUGUGGGAGUGUCGAAGCCAACGCGUUAAGUAUCCCGCCUGGGGAGUACGGUCGCAAGAUUGAAACUCAAAGGAAUUGACGGGGGCCCGCACAAGCGGUGGAGCAUGUGGUUUAAUUCGACUCAACGCGAAGAACCUUACCUGGGCUUGAACUGUCGGUAUAGGGACCCGAAAGGGCGACGAUCCCGGGCAACCGGGAAGCCGAUAGAGGUGCUGCAUGGCUGUCGUCAGCUCGUGUCGUGAGAUGUUGGGUUAAGUCCCGCAACGAGCGCAACCCUUGUCUUUAGUUGCCAGCGAGUCAUGUCGGGCACUCUAAGGAGACUGCCUCGGAUAACGAGGAGGAAGGUGGGGAUGACGUCAAGUCAGCAUGGCCUUUAUGUCCAGGGCUACACACGUGCUACAAUGGGCGGUACAGAAGGACGCGAGACCGCGAGGUCAAGCCAACCCUUAAGACCGUUCUCAGUUCGGAUUGCAGGCUGCAAUUCGCCUGCAUGAAGUCGGAAUCGCUAGUAAUCGCGGAUCAGCUACGCCGCGGUGAAUACGUUCUCGGGCCUUGUACACACCGCCCGUCACAUCACGAAAGCUGGUUGUACCCGAAGUCGCUGAGCCAACCGCAAGGAGGCAGGUGCCGAAGGUAUGGUCGGUGAUUGGGGUGAAGUCGUAACAAGGUAGCCGUACGGGAUCGUGCGGCUG
rnacentral:rRNA from 1 species